UUGGGCUCCAUUCUUCAUUCACUCUCUCUUUCUUCUCUUCGUUUCCAACAUUCCUUUCGCCUCUCUUAUAUAAAAAUCUCUCUUUGACACUCUUCUCUAUGCUUUUUCUCAUUUGCUUUCUUUGACUUGUAAAGGGUUUUUUUUUUUGGGUUUUCAUCUCAUCAAAUCAAGGAUACAGCUUCCCAUUUCGCCAUUUGGGUCUUUGUUUUUCCUCAGGAUUGUUGCUAGGGAUGUAGGUGAUGAAUCCGUGCAUAUCUACCAGCGACAACAAUGUAGCCAAUCAAGGUAGACAGAUGGACAGAGCAGCAGAGUAGGCUGCUUGUGCCACAUUUUGAGAUUUUGCCGGGUAUAUCAAGUAUACCAUAUUUUGUAGUUUUUAUUGUAAUGUAUGUGCACUAUAUGUAUAUAUUGUACUUGGUCUUGAGCAGUUGUAAACUAAAGCGAUAAACUAUUUUGGCUUGUAAAAGUAUUGUGAUAUACUUAUCUUAUCUCAGCUUUUGGA